UAAAUACAGGGUUAUGGCAGCAGCUUUGAACUUUCUUAGUAUUAAAAAAAGCUUCCCAGAAAUAUUAACAAACCCAGCUAUAUUUUGACAGUGAUGGAGGUUUAGUUUUAUUUGAAAUUAGUUGCUGUGGCUCCUUAUCUUUCACCCUGAAGUCACAGAGAAAUAUUCUUUCCAUUAUUUUUCCCUGAUGCUUAUCACAGCUGGCUCUGUGUGCAGGCUGGGCUUAGCUGUGGGUGAGUUCGCUCUUGCUUCUCAGCUCUUUCUCUUUGCUGCCCCGAGAACAUUUUGCUUGCAAUGUGUGGAUGAUGUUUGCACCUAGCUAGUUCUGGUGCGUGUCCCUGCAAACACUGCUGUUUGCGCACUAUUCCCCCAUCCACCAUGGUGAGUGGGGCUUGUCGUGCUUCCAGAGCUGGGGUGCUCUGGACGCCAAGUGGACUUUACAUUUUCCUUGUUAUCAGAAGGAACUAGAGAUGAUAUCGUUACAUUCUGUUUCUUUUUGCUGGAGAGAAUGUGUCUUUUAUGUUUCCCCCUCCCUUCGCUAACUUCCCACUCAGCCUUCACUUUGUGGAAUUCUCAAAUGAAUAUUCAUCUUUCCCCAUUCCCACUCCUUUUCUUAUAUGGGCCCUGGUAAGUAAUGCAAUGUCUAAAAUUCAGAUGAUUCAUGUGGUUUAUAGGAAAUAAAGGGGGAAAUGUGCUGAUUGAAAUGACUGACUUGUGCAUUGGCCAGCAGUGCGAAGCACUGUGAAUUCAGGGCCUUGUUCCUAGUGGUGUCUGCAACCGCCUCCCUGUAUCCUGAGUGGGAAGCAGACACAGCCAGGCUCUGUGAGCAGUGAGCCUCAUGACUUCCCAGUGCAGAGGGGAACAGCUUGCUGCUCAGUGUGUGCACAGGUCUUUGGGAGAAAGCUGCAGUCCGCAUGAUUUGUGAGCUGUGGUUUUAUAAAAUGGCUUAAUGAAACUGUUCAUUUGGUCUCAAUUGGAUUACAAUAAGCAGCUGUCUUACGGUGAAUAUCUGGCUGAUGAGUUUUGCCUAGUAGAUCUUCUUUCUGGAGUACGAUGGACACAUACUAUUAAUGAAGAGAUGAGGGGAAAUUACAGUGCUUCAAGAGUGGUAGCCUUGCUUCGGGUGGGCAUGCCUGAUAAGUAAACUCACUACUGAAGAUAUCUCUAGAGGGACAGUUCUCCAAGAGCUUCUCAGCAAUGCUUUGGGCCAGUGGAAAUGAGAUCAAAUCACGGUUUCAACCUGGGAGAAUUGGGACCAGAAAGCCAAGCUGGAGCUGUCAUCUGUGAUCUGUCAUUCUGCCGGGCUGCUCAUUUAGAAGAAACGCCUUUGUUGAAAUAAGAAUAAAAACAAUAAUUGACUA